rnacentral:rRNA from 1 species
GCAGGAGAGGAGAGUGGAAUUCCUAGUGUAGCGGUGAAAUGCGUAGAUAUUAGGAGGAACACCAGUUGCGAAGGCGGCUCUCUGGACUGUAACUGACGCUGAGGCACGAAAGCGGGGGGAGCAAACAGGAUUAGAUACCCUGGUAGUCCACGCUGUAAACGAUGAGUACUAGGGGUCGGGGGUUACCCCCUUCGGUGCCGCAGCUAACGCAUUAAGUACUCCGCCUGGGAAGUACGCUCGCAAGAGUGAAACUCAAAGGAAUUGACGGGGAC